AUUGAACGCUGGCGGCAGGCUUAACACAUGCAAGUCGAGCGGAGAUGAGGUGCUUGCACCUUAUCUUAGCGGCGGACGGGUGAGUAAUGCUUAGGAAUCUGCCCAUUAGUGGGGGACAACAUUCCGAAAGGAAUGCUAAUACCGCAUACGUCCUACGGGAGAAAGCAGGGGAUCUUCGGACCUUGCGCUAAUAGAUGAGCCGAAGUCGGAUCAGUAAGUUGGUGGGGUAAAGGCCUACCAAGGGGACGAUCUGUAGCGGGUCUGAGAGGAUGAUCCGCCACACUGGGACUGAGACACGGCCCGGACUCCUACGGGAGGCAGCAGUGGGGAAUAUUGGACAAUGGGGGAAACCCUGAUCCAGCCAUGCCGCGUGUGUGAAGAAGGCCUUAUGGUUGUAAAGCACUUUAAGCGAGGAGGAGGCUACUGAGACUAAUACUCUUGGAUAGUGGACGUUACUCGAAGAAUAAGCACCGGCUAACUCUGUGCCAGCAGCCGCCGUAACAC
rnacentral:rRNA from 1 species